rnacentral:misc_RNA from 1 species
UGGAUAAGGACUCGGUCUUAGUGUAUAGGAGUUUUUGAAAAUAAGGGAGCAAUAACCANCUUUCUUGUUCUAAACAAGAUGGGGUAUUGCUCCUUUAUUUCUAUUUAUUUUUUUAUUCAAUUUUCGAAUCAAAAAAUUUAGGUUUUUCUUUGGAAAUUAAGUUAAAAUAAGGUAAAGAAGAUAAUAUUGAAUUGAAUUAUUCAUAUUGAAUCUAAUUUUAUUUCAAAUUUGAAUAAAAUUAAAAAAAAAAAAAUAGUCUAAUUAAAAUUCAAUUUUAUAAAAUAUAAAGAAUUCUAAUUUAUACAAUAAAAUAGAUAAAUAUAUGUAAUUUCGAAUUAGUAAUUACAAAAAAAAAGAAAAUGAAAAAAUAGAACAUAGUCGGGGGGCG